CAUGGCCAUAGUGGACAUGACUGACACCACCAAGGACGACCAUUUCGAUUGGAGCUACAGCAUGCAGUCGAUGAUUUUGUCGUCAUUCUUCUGGGGCUACGUGCUGCUCAUGCUGCCCUCUGGUGAGCUGGCCAAGCGAUUCGGAGGCAAGGUCCUUAUCACAAUCUCCGUGUCUGUCAACGCGUUUGUCUCUCUGAUCCUACCUACAGCUGCUUAUUAUGGCGGGUGGAAGUUCGUAUUG